GAUGCAGUGUCGUGUGAAGUGAUUAAAUAUUGGCACUGUCCGUGUUUUAAACUGCACAAGUAGCGAAUAGCUGUUCCUCAAGACUGCUAUGCGCCGAAGUUUUCUCUAUCUCCAAACUAUAAUAAAAGGGUUGGUUCAUUCUGCAAACAUUCUGGACAUCAGCUCUGAAUGUAAAGAAUACAUUAUAAUCGAUGCUUCCUAGAGAUUAUGCGACAGCUGCCAUGCCGUAAUCAACUAAGUCAUUAUUAAUUUAUUAUUUUUAUUGAUUUCUCUACUACUUCUCUCACAAUUCUGUGUGAAUAUUUUUUGUGUGAAUAAACUUCUUUCAGUGCAAA